AGCAGCCGCGGUAAUUCCAGCUCCAAUAGCGUAUAUUAAAGUUGUUGCAGUUAAAAAGCUCGUAGUUGAAUUUCGGGAUCAAUAUAUCGGUCGUGCCUUGGUACGUACUGGUAUCAUUGGUUUCUCCUUUCUGACGAACCAUGAUGUCAUUAAUUUGGUGUCUUGGGGAAUCAGGACUGUUACUUUGAAAAAAUUAGAGUGUUUAAAGCAGGCUCGCGCUUGAAUACAUUAGCAUGGAAUAAUGAAAUAGGACGUUUGAUUCUAUUUUGUUGGUUUCUAGGAUCGACGUAAUGAUUAAUAGGGAUAGUUGGGGGCAUUAGUAUUCAAUUGUCAGAGGUGAAAUUCUUGGAUUUAUUGAAGACUAACUACUGCGAAAGCAUUUGCCAAGGAUGUUUUCAUUAAUCAAGAACGAAAGUUGGGGGCUCGAAGACGAUCAGAUACCGUCCUAGUCUUAACCAUAAACUAUGCCGACUAGGGAUCGGAUGAUGUUAAUUUUAAUGUA
rnacentral:misc_RNA from 1 species